GAGACACUAGUAAAGCGUAUUACAUUGCCUUGUCGAGGCAAAAUCGUGGGUUAGACCCCCACGUGUCUUA
rnacentral:tRNA from 1 species